rnacentral:pre_miRNA from 1 species
AAUAAGUGCAGCCAUGGAUAUCCGUGCCCAACAUUUGACCGUCCGUCUUAUUUGAAAAAUUUGCGAAAAAUUUAAAAAUAUUUAGUCACACAUAAAGUACUAUUUAUGUUUUAUCAUCUAAUAGCAAUAAAAAUACUAAUCAUAUAAAAUUUUUAAAUAAGACGAACGGUCAAACGUUGAACGUGAAUAGUGUAAAACUGCACUUAUU